UACUAAUAGAUACCCGAAUUUUUAAAUAGUAAUCGCCUUUUCUUCACCUUACCACUCAAGCUAACGUACCACAGAUUCCCUCAAUCCACGGCCACCGCCACCUCUACUUAAACUAACACUUGAGCGAUCGCUUCUUCACCAAUCGGAAAAAAUGGUUUCAAGUCACUUGCUUCUUGAAGAGCCUAUACGGAUGGCUUCAAUCCUCGAGCCAUCAAAGCCUGUCAGUUUUUCCCCGUUUUACCACAGCUAAAUGUUUUCUAUCUGAUUUCUGUUCUAACUUGUAAAAUUUCCAUAUUUCUGUUUUUCUUAAGUGGAAAUGGAAAUUUCUCUGCAGAAUUUCUUUCCUGCGAUGACGAAGAUAGUAGGGACGCUCGGGCCGAAAUCGCGAUCCGUUGAAAUUAUUUCAAGAUGCCUUGAAGCUGGAAUGUCUGGUAAUUUCGUUAUUCUCUUGUAUUUCCUACUUCCAUGAUUAUUGAAAUGUAAAUCACAUUUGAGUUCCGUUCGGUUAUUUAACGAAGUACAAAAGUAGGAGCACUGAGAGAGUACGAAUUAUUGAAUUUUGCUCUUUAUUUACAGUUUCUAUUUAAUGAGAUUGAAAACAGAAGCUUUUCUAUAGUUGUAUAUUAUAUGCGAGCAUUAGUUUAGAAGUUUAUUGUUUGGACUGAAAGCUUCAUUUAUUGUGGAUUAAGAGUUCAAAUACAACGAUUUACAUUUUUCUUUUCUUCCUAAAGCUUAUUAUUAAUUUAACACAUGCUUAAUGGCUACAAUUAAGCAAGUAUAACAGUUGAAUUUUCACUCUACUGACUUGUUGUGAUACACGUUUUUAAUUAACAGUGGCAAGGUUUGAUUUUUCGUGGGGUGAUGCUGAAUUUCACCAAGAGACUUUAGAGAAUUUGAAAGGGUGCAUCAAGAGCACAAAAAAGCUCUGUGCGGUAAGCUUGAAAUUUCCUAUUCAUUUUUGGUGCUAUAAACGAAGAAUUAUCUUCCAGGUAGUGUGACCUGUGAGCCAGUAAUUUCUCUCUGUUAACAGGUUAUGCUGGACACUGUGGGUCCAGAGCUACAAGUUAUCAACAAAACUGAACAUCCUAUUUCACUUCAGGCGGAUUCCCUUGUUGUUCUAACUCCUGAUCUGGACAAAGAAGCCACUUCAAACUUGCUUCCCAUUAAUUUUGGUGGGUUAUCAAAGGUAAUAAUAUUGGUGUGAAAUCUCUCUUGCAAAUUCCAUGACAUUACAAAUGGAUAAUUUUACAUAAACCAGAUUUGUACUUGCAAAUUUAGUAAGAGUAAGUCCUAGAAAUAGGAGGCAAGGAUAAUUAACUGUGAAUAAUUAACUUUUGUAAGUUAAUGGAGCACUUCUCCGGAGUUAAUCCUUGGCUGAAGUAGUAGAAGAUCUCAUGGAUGCUAGCACAAUACUAUAUAUUUUUGUACACUGUGCUUGAUUUUUCUCUAUUAAGUUCCUUUAUAUCUGUCUGUUUUAUUUGAUACCACGACUCGGUAAAGAAGAUAAUGUCUUUUAUACUUUUCUCCCCUGCCUUUGUCUGUGCUAGAACGUGAAUUGCAUAUUUUUGUUUAAGGUCGCAAGUUGCAACUUUUAUUUUUACACUUGAUAAUGCAAGCACCUAUUGUUGCGCACAGAUGGACACCAUUAUGACUUUCUGUUACAAUAUAACCGCAGUUUUCUUACCUUGCAGGCAGUAAAGCCGGGAGAUACUAUUUUCAUUGGUCAAUACUUGUUCUCAGGAAGUGAAACAACUUCUGUAUGGCUGGAGGUAUGGAAACAAUAGAGAUUGUGCCCACCUGUCAAUAUUUGUGUGCUGUUGAUUCUCAGGAAUAUUUGAUUUCUUAUGUCUGUUAUUACUGGUUUCCGUCCAUUAUGUUACUGUAGUAGAUGUAUGUUGGCCUAGGAUCUAGCAUUAUUCUUUUUGUUGAUCUUAGGUUAAAUAUUUGGGUGAGGGAACUUCAACUCCUGAUAGGCAAUGUCAAUGAAGGAUUACAAUGUGACUUUUCCAUAGAUGUUGACGCAUAAUGGAGUUCCUACCGUGCAGGUAACUGAGGUGAAAGAGGAGGAUGUGGUUUGUAUGAUUAAGAAUUCUGCCACCUUGGCUGUGUCAUUGUACACGCUACAUGUGUCUCAGAUUCGCAUUGAUCUUCCUACUCUCACUGAUAAAGAUAAGGAGGUACGCUAUGCUAUAGCCAAUUGAGAGCUUAUUCAGGAUUUUUCAAGACCUAAGAUUUCAUGUCUGUUCCAGUAUUUAGUGAUGUGCAGCUCUUGGAAACUACUACUUUCUCAUGUUGCUUUAUUUUUCUUUAACUGCCUCUAAACAAUUUUGGUUUCUUAUCUAGAGUUUACAUGAUCACUGUGACAACUUUAGGUUAUAAGCACUUGGGGAGUUCGGAACAACAUAGACUUCCUCUCACUUUCAUAUACACGACAUGCAGAGGAUGUUAGACAUGUAAGGAGUGUUUCUGGUUUUUAUUAUUGUCUUUCUAUCCAUUUCUCUCUCUUAUAUUCUUCAUUAUUGUUUUAUAUUCUGUUGACUAUCAGGCGCAAAAUAAAUUAGGCAUUAAAAAUUACGUAUUUAUGAUUAUUCCAAUUUGGUGUCUAAUAAUCAGUGGACCCUUUUGCUGGUCUGCAGGCUCGUGAGUUUCUUUCUAACUUGGGUGACCUCAGUCAAACCCAGAUUUUUGCGAAGAUCGAAAAUGUAGAGGUUAGAAGCCUGUUAGAAUUUUUUGAAUGGUCUCAAAAGAAGCUGCACGUUAAUCUUAAUCUGAAAUUGUAUCUUGUCUUUAUUUUCCUCACAUUCUUUUGCAGGGGUUGACCCAUUUUGAUGAGAUCCUCCAAGAAGCAGAUGGCAUCAUCCUCUCUCGUGGAAAUCUAGGGAUAGAUCUCCCCCCAGAGAAGGUCCAUUUCAAAUUUGGAUAUACUAACUUGAUAUUUUGCUUCUUGGCAAAUAGAUGAAAAUUUAUAUAGGCUAUUUGCACUUAACGAGUUAGAAGAUGUUGCCAAUGACCGGGUAUCAAGUGGAGUUGGAUGUACGUAGAAAUUUUUAACAUUAAAGUGCUACACUUCGAUUAGUGAAUGUAGCAUUUUACAUAUGGUAGAGAAUGAGCGGAAAGUAGAUGAUAAUGGCUAUAAGAUCAAGCUUUCUGAAAGAACAAACACCAACACAUCCAUUGCCCUUUUCUCUUAUUUUGGGGUUUCCCCUGAAAAUCCUUACGGCUUCCUGUUGAUAUGUCUGCAUUCUUCAUGCGAUCACUGUAGUGUUGGUGAACCAUUUAUUGCCCGUUUCUGACAACAUUUUAAUGUGCUCAGGUAUUUUUAUUUCAAAAGGCAGCUGUUUACAAGUGCAAUAUGGCUGGGAAGCCUGCUGUGGUCACUCGUGUGGUAGACAGUAUGACUGAUAACUUGCGACCCACUCGUGCUGAGGCAACUGAUGUAGCCAAUGCUAUCUUGGAUGGUAUCUUUCAGUACUCAGAAUGGAUCCUUGAUUAUCUGAUUAGUUUCUGAGUGUCUGCAGAAAGUUCACACAUGUUCUUUUGUUUGCAACUAUGAGAGAUCAUUUUGUCCGUGCAUACAUUAUCUAUGAUAGCUAUUACAAUGGCAACGUGAAAACUUAUCCUCUAUCCUUUUCUAUUGUUUCAGGCAGUGAUGCCGUUCUUUUAGGUGCAGAGACCCUCCGUGGAUUAUACCCUGUUGAUACCAUUUCAGUUGUUGGUAAAAUUUGUGCUGAGGUGAACUUUAUUCUAUUUUCAUCGUCCUUGCUAAUCAGCAUCACCAUUAAAUUUGUUACGUCUCCCUUGUCUCUCCCCCCAAACUAGAAAUGGAUAAUUCUGUGAAGUAGAAAGAUAUUUUGCUCGUGUCUCAGUUCUAUGGAUGAUGUUCUGAGAAGGUAUAUCCAAUAAAUUAAAAAUUAUGUGAUCGAAAAUAUUGUUUUAACAAAAUAAAUCUUAAAGAAUGAGUGCUCAAACAUAUGCUAGUAUAGAACGCAAUCACCUAAUAACAAAUAUCCGAGUCUUCAUAGGGAUGUGAUUUACUAAUAUUCGUUAACAAGUCCCUGUUUGGUUUAAAUAAAAUAAAAAAAAAAGAUUUUGAUUAAAGUUGAUCAAAUAUAUGAUUAAAAAAUUGUAGGCCUCAAUGAAGUAUGUGAUUAAAAUUAAGCCCUUAUUUGGUGAAAAUUAAAAUAAUAUUUUUAGUAGAUUUUGGUAGAAAAGAUGAAAUGUAUAAUUGAGAAAUUGUGGGUUUUAUAAAAUGUAUAAUUAUAAUUAAUUAUUGAUUUUAAUUUAAGAGCUUGUUUGGUAGAGUUUAAAAGACAAUUGAAAUUAAAUUUUUGACCGUUAUUUCAUUCUUCCCACCGUCAUUUUUGAAUUCUUGUCUCACAGGUAGGACUCAUUUAUUUCUAACGGUCAAAAAAUCAAUUAUCAAAAUCCCUACCAAAUAAGUACUAAAUUAAAAUACUAAUUUUAUUUUCUAGCAAAUAAGGGCUAAAUAUUAACGUCGACUUAAAUUUACAUUUUAAACUGAAAUAAAUAGGGACGAAGAUAAACAACAUAACAAUUUAGCCCUUGUUUGAGCCACAUUAUUCCAAAAAAAUGCAUUCUUAAAUAGUGAUUUGAUAUCAUUUUAACCACGCAUUUUCAAUAAAAUAAUAUUACACGUAAAUUCAAAAUUUUUCCUUAUUUUUUAAUCAUAAAUUUUUCAUUAAUACACUAUUCAAGAAUGUAUUAUUACCAAAAUAAUAUGGCUCAAACCCUCUUAUAUUUAAUUUAAAAGUAAGCCCCUGUUUAGACUCAAUUAUUCUACAUUUUAAUAGGGGAAUAGCAAUUUUUUGAACAAUAUUUGGUUGAAAAAGAAAGAAAAUUUUAAAUUUACGUGUAAUAUAUUUUAUUGAAAUAUGUAUAAUUGAUAAGAGGAUAGAAAAAGAUAAAUUUUAAUUUAAUGGGCCAAACAGGAGCUAAAUUUAACUUAUUCGGAAGAACAACCAAGAAUUGAAAAGUAUUUUUCUUGUAAAGGUUUUACAUGAAUUUAAAAUUGGACAAGUUGGAAAAAAAUAUUACUAAUAGAUACCCGAAUUUUUAAAUAGUAAUCGCCUUUUCUUCAACUUACCACUCAAGCUAACUUACCACAGAUUCCCUCAAUCCACGGCCACCGCCACCUCUACUUAAACUAACACUUGAGCGAUCGCUUCUUCACCAAUCGGAAAAAAUGGUUUCAAGUCACUUGCUUCUUGAAGAGCCUAUACGGAUGGCUUCAAUCCUCGAGCCAUCAAAGCCU
rnacentral:lncRNA from 1 species